GUCAAUGUGGUGGUGAAAACGGCUGAAGAUUUCCAGGAAAAGGCAUUGUUCUCUUUCGGGAAUAGACUAGUUUAAAGCAUUCCUUUGAAGGAGGGGGAAGUUACUUAGCCCAGGUGGGAAUAAAAGACAUUUGACAGCUGUGACAUUCAUGGGCAAUGCAUUUGAAAAAGAAGACAUAAAUAUUCAGAGACAUAUUAGAAUGCUGUUCAAUAUGGCAUGGAGAUUUUGAUGCAUUCACAAGAAAAUGACCUUUAAAUCUCGGAGAGGAGAGGAGAGGAGAGGAGAGGAGAGGAGAGGAGAG